CGGGACGGGUGAGUAAUGCUUGGGAAUCUAGCUUAUGGAGGGGGAUAACUACGGGAAACUGUAGCUAAUACCGCGUAAUAUCGAAAGAUUAAAGUGUGGGACCUUCGGGCCACAUGCCAUAAGAUGAGCCCAAGUGGGAUUAGGUAGUUGGUGAGGUAAAGGCUCACCAAGCCGACGAUCUCUAGCUGGUCUGAGAGGAUGACCAGCCACACUGGGACUGAGACACGGCCCAG
rnacentral:rRNA from 1 species